UACGGGGGGGGCAAGCGUUGUUCGGAAUUACUGGGCGUAAAGGGCUCGUAGGCGGCCAAGUACGUCGGGUGUGAAAUCCCCAGGCUCAACUUGGGAACUGCAUCCGAUACUGGAUGGCUUGAAUCCGGGAGAGGGAUGCAGAAUUCCAGGUGUAGCGGUGAAAUGCGUAGAUAUCUGGAGGAAUACCGGUGGCGAAGGCGGCAUCCUGGACCGGGAUUGACGCUGAUGAGCGAAAGCUAGGGGAGCAAACGGG
rnacentral:rRNA from 1 species